rnacentral:lncRNA from 1 species
UAUUAUACAAAAUGGGAUAGGAUAAAGUAAUAUGCCUGUGUGUUGCACCUUUGGUGGUAUAGGGUGUGUUGAAGGUGGCAAUGGAUUUACCUCCACACCUUCCAACUGCAUUAAGUAUCUAUUAAUCUCCUCUAAAUUAUGCAUCACUCUUUGGCCUAUUCGGCCUGCUCAAGCUGAUGAACAAUAAGUCUUCUUGCCUCUUACCAUGGUUCACUAAAAAAGUAUAUUAAGAAAACAUCAAGAAUAUAUGAUAAUAAAAAAAAAUAGAAGUACACAUAUAGCAUAUCAAAGAAAGUCAGCAGGAUAUAAUUUUGCUUUCACCUUACAAACUAUUCAUCAAUC